CUAAGGAAUGUCAACCGCAUGGAAAUCCCAAGUUGGAAAGUCGUUCCACGUGGAAUUCAAGACUGUAAGAGCCGUGGAAAAAGUACAAAAACCGUCAUGGGUAAGUAUUUUUGCGGUCAUGUGACGGGGAAAACAAAAGCGCCUUGUAACAGAAACAUGCCCUAAAAUGAAAACAAGCAAGAACCGGCUGAAAAAUAUGACUUUUAUGAUAAAAACGGCUGACAAAAAUUUUGAAUCCCACCCCUGCUUGUAAGUGUAACUCACGAUGCACGAGGAAAUAACCAUCGAAACCUCUGCUGUAUCCGGUUGUCUAUUCAUCGGUCAACUUUGUAUAUCGACUGGAAGCAAACAGAUUUAUUUUUUUUAUCUAUACCUAUUUGUCAACCAAUAAA